UUCUGACUUGACCACCGCAGCGCCGAACACAAAAGCUCACCACCACCGCAACCGCAACCGCAACCCACAAACCUCGCCUGCACGUCACCGAUACCGAGGCGAAGCCGAGGCAGGCAGGCACACUCCCCCCUCCUCGCUCUGCAGCCCUCACCGGCCACCGCAGGCCAAGAAAGAAGCAAAAGCGGCGACGCCGUCUCCAAUGCCUCAGGGCGCCGCGGCGGCGGCCUGAGAGCGGCGGACGGCGAGCCGCGCUGUCGACUGUCGAGGUCGGGCGGGGGAGCGCAUUGCGAUGGCGGAGUCGGCGGCGGCGGACGGGAAGGCGGCGAACGGAGCAGGGGGAGGGGGGGGUGAUGCGGCGGGGGACGGGAAGAAGAGGGUCGACCAGGCCGUGGCGUUCCACGAGCUCUUCUGGUUCGCCGACAAGUGGGAUCUCAUGCUCAUGGCGGCGGGCAGCCUUGGCGCGCUGGCGCACGGCGCCGCCAUGCCGCUCUUCUUUCUCCUGUUCGGGGACCUCAUCAACGGCUUCGGCAAGAACCAGACCGACCUCCGCACCAUGACCGACGAAGUCGCCAAGUAUGCGCUCUACUUCGUCUACCUCGGGCUGGUGGUCUGCGUCUCCUCCUACGCAGAGAUCGCGUGCUGGAUGUACACCGGGGAGCGGCAGGUGAUCGCGCUCCGGAAGGCGUACCUGGACGCCGUGCUGCGGCAGGACGUGGGGUUCUUCGACACGGACGCGCGCACGGGCGACAUCGUGUUCGGCGUCUCCACCGACACGCUGCUCGUGCAGGACGCCAUCGGCGAGAAGGUCGGCAACUUCAUCCACUACAUCGCCACCUUCCUGGCCGGGCUGGUCGUGGGGUUCGUAGCGGCAUGGCGGCUCGCGCUGCUCAGCGUGGCCGUCAUCCCCGCCAUCGCCUUUGCCGGUGGCCUGUACGCGUACACGCUCACCGGCCUCACUUCCAAGAGCCGGGAGUCCUAUGCCAAUGCCGGCGUCGUCGCGGAGCAGGCAAUUGCCCAAGUAAGAACAGUUUACUCUUUUGUUGGAGAGAGCAAAGCACUCAAUUCCUAUUCUGAGGCGAUUCAGAACACACUGAAGCUCGGUUACAAAGCUGGGAUGGCUAAAGGUCUUGGGAUCGGAUGUACUUAUGGGAUAGCAUGCAUGUCCUGGGCAUUGGUAUUCUGGUAUGCUGGUGUUUUCAUCAGGAAUGGGCAGACUGAUGGUGGAAAUGCUUUUACAGCAAUCUUUUCUGCAAUUGUCGGUGGCAUGAGCCUUGGGCAGGCUUUCUCAAACCUUGGAGCCUUCAGCAAAGGGAAAAUUGCUGGUUACAAACUGCUUGAGGUCAUUCGCCAGAAACCGUCUAUAGUCAACGAUCACAAGGAUGGGAAGUGGUUGGCUGAGGUCCAUGGAAACAUAGAAUUCAAGGAAGUUACAUUCAGUUAUCCUUCAAGGCCUGAUGUUAUGAUCUUUCGGGAUUUCUCUCUUUUCUUCCCUGCUGGUAAAACUGUCGCGGUCGUUGGAGGCAGUGGAUCUGGAAAAAGCACUGUUGUGGCUUUGAUAGAAAGGUUUUAUGAUCCUAAUGAAGGCCAGGUUUUGCUUGACAAUGUUGACAUAAAAACACUCCAAUUGAGGUGGCUGAGAGAUCAGAUUGGUCUAGUAAACCAAGAACCUGCUCUUUUUGCAACCACUAUCCUAGAGAAUAUACUGUAUGGAAAGCCAGAUGCCACUAUUGCAGAAGUUGAGGCUGCAGCGACUGCAUCCAAUGCUCAUAGUUUCAUAUCUCUUCUUCCAAAUGGCUACAACACAAUGGUAGGUGAGCGAGGCAUCCAACUUUCUGGUGGUCAGAAGCAACGUAUAGCGAUAGCUCGUGCUAUGCUGAAGAACCCGAAGAUUCUGCUCCUUGAUGAAGCUACCAGCGCUUUAGAUGCAGACUCAGAAAGCAUUGUGCAAGAAGCUCUUGACCGCUUAAUGGUUGGGAGGACGACUGUAGUUGUUGCCCACCGUCUGUUCACUAUAAGAAACGUGAACAUGAUUGCUGUGAUCCAACAAGGCCAAGUUGUUGAGACUGGGACACAUGAUGAACUCCUAGCAAAAGGCAGCACUGGAGCAUAUGCCUCCCUGGUCCGUUUUCAGGAAUCAACGUGGAAUAGGGAUCUUGGAGGUGCAUCUACCCGCAGGUCACGAUCGAUGCACUUGACAAGCUCACUUUCCACCAAAUCUCUUAGCCUGAGGUCUGGAAGUCUAAGGAACUUGAGCUAUCAGUACAGUACUGGAGCAGAUGGUCGCAUCGAGAUGAUCUCCAAUGCAGAUAAUGACCGCAAAUACCCAGCACCACGUGGUUACUUCUUGAAGCUCCUGAAAUUGAAUGCUCCUGAAUGGCCUUAUGCUGUGUUGGGCGCCAUUGGUUCUGUCCUUUCAGGAUUUAUUGGUCCAACAUUUGCCAUUGUUAUGGGUGAAAUGCUUGAUGUGUUCUACUACAGGGACCCCAAUGAAAUGGAGAAGAAGACAAAGCUAUAUGUGUUCAUCUAUAUUGGCACAGGCAUAUAUGCUGUUGUUGCUUAUCUUGUGCAGCAUUACUUCUUCAGCAUCAUGGGAGAAAAUCUUACAACCAGGGUAAGGAGGAUGAUGUUAUCCGCAAUACUUAGGAAUGAAGUGGGUUGGUUUGACGAAGAAGAAAACAACUCAAGUCUUGUGGCUGCUCGUCUAGCAGUCGAUGCAGCAGAUGUGAAGUCGGCUAUAGCUGAGAGAAUAUCAGUCAUCCUGCAGAACAUGACGUCCCUUAUGACUUCAUUCGUUGUCGGUUUUAUCAUUGAAUGGAGAGUGGCACUCCUUAUUCUGGCUACUUUCCCGCUUCUUGUGCUUGCCAACUUUGCCCAGCAAAUUUCAAUGAAGGGCUUCGCUGGUGACACAGCAAAGGCACAUGCCAAGAGCAGUAUGGUCGCAGGUGAAGGAGUGAGCAAUAUCCGCACCGUGGCUGCCUUCAACGCUCAAAGCAAGAUCUUGUCACUCUUCAGCCAUGAACUGCGCAUACCAGAGCAGCAAAUCCUUCGACGUAGCCAGACAUCAGGUCUUCUGUUUGGCCUUUCACAGCUCUGCCUGUACUCCUCAGAAGCGCUCAUUCUCUGGUAUGGUUCUCAUCUCGUCCGGUCACAUGGAUCCACCUUCUCCAAGGUCAUCAAGGUUUUUGUUGUCCUUGUGGUGACUGCCAACUCCGUAGCUGAGACAGUGAGCCUAGCCCCAGAGAUCGUCCGCGGAGGUGAAUCGAUCCGAUCCAUCUUUGGCAUCCUCGACAGGGCAACAAGAAUUGAGCCUGAUGAUCCAGAGUCGGAGCGUGUCACCGCCAUCCGAGGGGACAUUGAGUUGCGGCAUGUGGACUUUGCCUAUCCAGCACGCCCGGACAUUCAGAUCUUCAAGGAUUUCAACCUGAAAAUCCAAGCUGGGCGCAGCCAAGCUCUAGUCGGAGCCAGCGGUUCAGGGAAGAGCACUGUCAUUGCUCUCAUUGAGCGAUUCUAUGAUCCGACUGGGGGAAAAGUUAGUAUUGAUGGAAAGGACAUCAGGAGGCUGAACUUGAAGUCCUUGCGGCUCAAGAUUGGCCUGGUGCAGCAGGAGCCGGUCCUCUUUGCAGCGAGCAUACUAGAAAACAUUGCAUAUGGCAAGGAUGGUGCAACCGAGGAGGAGGUGAUCGAGGCGGCAAAGACAGCAAAUGUCCACGGCUUCGUCAGCCAGCUUCCUGACGGCUACAAGACUGCAGUCGGCGAGCGUGGCGUGCAGCUCUCGGGUGGGCAGAAGCAGCGGAUCGCCAUCGCCAGGGCAGUGCUCAAGGACCCGGCCAUCCUGCUGCUGGACGAGGCAACAAGCGCCCUGGACGGAGUCCGAGUGCGUGCUGCAGGAGGCGCUGGAGCGGCUGAUGAAGGGGCGGACCACCGUCCUGGUGGCGCACCGCCUCUCGACGAUCCGAGGCGUGGACCGCAUCGCGGUGGUGCAGGACGGGCGGAUCGUCGAGCACGGUAGCCACUCGGAGCUCCUGACCCGGCCGGAGGGCGCGUACUCGCGGCUGCUGCAGUUGCAGCACCACCGUGUCUGACGGCGAAGUGCAGGCGCAUCCUCUGAUUAAUACAUGAUGACACCUUCGUUUUGGAGACUGGGAUGGCCAGAAUUUUUUCGGUUGGCGGUGGUCGUGCGGAUGUAGAUACUAGGGCAACCGUGUAUGUUCUUAAUGCUGUCGAUCGCAAGCUUAAACUUGGAACCUGCGAUCUGUAUCUUCUCCCCGGAAUGUACGAUGCGACUCUUCUUUUUGUUAACUCCCCCCUUUCUGUUCC